CAAAUCCUUAGUUAGGGUCACACCAAG
rnacentral:piRNA from 1 species